ensembl:lncRNA
GGUGGAGUGUUGCACGCUGAGGGAAUUGCCCUUAUUAUUUCAACACGAGUGAAGGCAGAAAUUCAUUUUCUGGUGAUGUCCUGAACUCUGCCUCCGGUGUCACCAGCACUCCAGUACUGCCAAAACAAACACAGGCGCCUGACCAAAGAAAGUAAACCAAAGCCCUCCUAGCAGCAUCCACAGGCACACACUCAGCUUCACGCCAGCACCUUCCUGUAGAUCUCGGUAUACUGAUAGCUGAUUUAUUUAGGCAAGAAACACAGAUAAACAGCUAUACAGCAGAGAAGCCAGCUAGCACUGCCACCCAGGGAGCACAAAUGGAGGUGAUGCAGCGCAGACAGCAUUGCUGGCCUUGAUUCCCAAGCAAACACCUGGACAAGCUGCACUGAGGGUGGCAGCAAUAUCUCCGUCCCGUGGUUGGACUGUGGGACAGCAGCUUUUGCACAUGCCCUGCCUGGUGAACAUCCACCUGGGCUCCUGGCAGAUUUGUCAAACAGAGCUAAUUUCUUCCCAAAAUGACUCUAUGGGCAGCAGAGCUGCACAACAAGAGAUGCUUAUCUGGACUUUGGAAACAUCUUCCUGUGAGGUCAUCAUCUUUUCUCUUUCUUCUUAAAUUUUCCUUCAUGGGGAUGAGGCCACGGCGUGUGCCGCUUGAAACUGCUGACAGAUCCCAGACAGAAGAUGGAAGAAAAGGGCAGAACAGUCAGUGCAGUGGAUUUGCUGGAGCAGGUCUUUUUGAGGAGCCUGGGUGUCCCUCCUCUGCUAUCCUUUCCCAAGAGCCAGGAUAAGAAGCAGUCACGAGCAUAGUGGCAGAGAAGGAAAAAGGGCUGUGGAGGCAGUACACCUGCAGGGAGUGAUUUCUACCUGUCUCCCGAGAGGGGUGCUCAGUUUUUGGGGCUCAGUGGGAGAACAGCUUUGAGUUUAGCUUCAGACCAAGCCAAGUUUGGUUUUGCAGACACCUUUCACACCUACCGCCUUUUCUGGUAUGCUAGAAGAGAAGUGUGAGUUGGAUGUGGCCCCUUGGUACCAGCAGCCAUACAAACAGCCCCACAGCUGUGGGACUGCCUGCUCUCUUCUCUGCGCCAGCAGUAGGUAUCUCCUGGGCUACCAACACUCUUCCUGCCACAACCUUCCCUCUGGCCUGCCUUGAAAUCAGUGACCCUGCAGCCCUUCCAGCUUUACUUUAAUAUUCAUCUCCCACGGGGCAGUUGCUGAGUGACGAGCACAGUAGGCAGAGGAGGACCAAGCCUCCGUGACUGUGCAGGUGAUGGACUUUGAGCCUUCAGAGCUGGGUGCUUGAGGAGCUGCAUUCAGAUAUAAGCACCUCCAAGACUAUGUCUGUCCUGUUCCUUGAGAGGUCUCUUUUCCUUUGCCUAAGGAGAGCAAGGCUGGUGCUGUCUCAGCCCCAACACGAAGGUCCCCGUCUAGGGAUCAGGGACACUCAGUACCUAGCAGUCCCUGGGCACAACAUGCUUGGUCCAGUGAUGCUGCUAUGGCUGACAACUCACCUGGCUGCUCUCCCCAGAAGCAGAGAGGGAGCCUGUCACUGUCACAGCCCCAGCAGUGUAUCUAAGGCAGUGUUUAGCUGCAUGGAGAGGGUCACCUGCUGGGUUGUGUUUCAGCAUCGUGCUACGUUUUGGUCUCUUUUUCCCUUUCUCUGCACCACACUCCUGGUACAAAGGAUUUGACACCAGGUGAUUAUCUGAAACUGGAGACACAAGGUGCUGGUGCAGCUCUGGUUACACAUAUUAUGCCGAAGCCUUCAUUCUUACUAUCAUGAGCAUGUCGCCCCACAGUUUUUCUUUGUUUGUUUGUUUGUUUACAUAAUUAAUGCAGUGAAAUGAAAACACUGUCCAUAUAAUUGUGAGGACGUCAGAUGUUCAAACAUAAUAUACUCCAUUCUAAGGUGACAGAUAUGUGAGGUAGUCUUCGUUUUUAAGUAUUCACGUCUUGAAAAUAAUAUAAUUACACUCAUCUAUUUAGGGUUUCUGUGAUUAUUGGCCAUCACCUCUUCCUGGACCUGAGGCUUCCCUGAGGUCAAAGUAGAAAUAUUCAGCAACAGCCUGAACCACACAGAUGUUGCAUAUCUACUUGACAGUGUUUACUAUUUCCAGGAUUGUUUUAAAUAAGUAAUGCUUUCAAACAGAGCGGGUCGCCUCCAUAAAGAUGGCCUCGUAUAGCAAGAGAAGGAAAGAAGCAGAGAAGAAAGGAAGAGCGAUUAAAUCAGGUCCCAGAGAGAAGCAGAGGAUUGCUGGCUUAGAAGAAAGCUUGCUUCCCAGGUUUGAGUGUUAGCUGAACCACACAGAGGACUGGCUGUGACCAGACAAAAUGGCCUUGCUGAAUUAAGCCAGACAGAAGAAACAAACCCCCUAAAAAAUCAUGUCCCAACAGGUAAAAGGAGAUCCUGCCCAGAUAUUUUAGGAAAUCCCAGACAAAUUAAGCAAAAAGCUGAGCUGCAAAUGAAAGAAAAAGGGAUGUGAGCAAAGGCAGCAAGUAAACAACAAAAAAAAAACAACAACCCAACACAGUUUUUUAAAGGAGGCUAAAAAAAAUUCAUGUCAAGGAAGAAAGGGGGAAAAGGGAAGGAAGGAAAGGAGCUUCCCUCCUGCCAAGUGCACACAGCAACCUCCACUCUCUCAGAAGCAUUAUUUCUAGCCAAAGCCAAAUGAAAGGCUCCUGGCUGAACUGAAAUGAAAACAUCCAUUUUUGAGAUUGGCUCUGCACAUUGCCAGCACAGAGCUGAUGAGAGGCUACCAGCAGCUCCGGGCAAGCGAGGAAGGUGGGAAGCAGGAAGGGAAGCUUGAAAAGUUUGAAAAUAACUAUCAGCUAAUUUUGACUACAAAAAGGAUCAUCCUAGUUUAGAAUGAUUGCUGCGAUGCUGUAGAAGGCAUUUUUCCUGUUAUUCCUAUUUGAAAGUGCAGAUAAAGGGAGUGCAACUCCUUCCCUCUGCAAAUAAGUCACUACGCAUGGCAAAGUACUGCCAGGCACUCUAUUGCCGAAAUGCAUUGCUGAAAGCUGGGCAGCUGCCUCCAAGCAAGCGGAGAGCAGCUGCUGUCACCUCGGGUGUCUCUUCCACAAUUGCAAUGGGAAUCCCUAUGGGCAAUCUCCAUGGGCAAUCUCCAAGUUUUGGAUCCAGGAAUGGGAAUCCCCAGGCCUCUUAGGAAGACCAAGUAGUAGAAAUUCCUCCUAAAUCCCAUGUGCUUUCUCUUCCCUGGGAAUUCUCUGCUCGUAGGCGUCCCCCACAGCACGAGGGAGCUCCACGAGGCUCCCUCCAGCUUGCGCAGUGAAGGAAGCUGGAUGGAAUUUCCCCUGUCAUGCUGACACCCAGGCACCACGCUGUGUGCUACAACUUGGCACGUGUGACUCGUCCUCUCUUUACAGAUGAGCAUGAGCUCGGCGCAAUUUCACCACAGUCAAGAGAGUCCCUGGAAAAAAUGGAAAUGGAACUCAGGCCAAAAACUUCCUGCAAACAGUGCUAGGAUCAUUGGACCAUAUCUCUUAUUUGCAUUGGUGCAAGUCAAGAUGUGUGUUUCUUGCGGAUAGCGUGAGGAGCUGACAUGGAGGAAGAUCAGAGCCUGGGUUUAACUAACACCAGAAGUCGUAUUUACGUCAGCCAGAAAAGGGUGUCUUCGCUUAGAUAUUGUAUUCAGGGUGUUCUGUAGCUCUGAGGUUUUAUUUUCCUUUUCCUAACCAUAAAAAAUAAUAAAAUGAGAUUAACAUAAAGAUAAGAACCUGAGCCAAGGGGGCUGGCACCGACUCCCAGCCAGCUGCCCUACUCCUUCCCUGUCACCUCCUGGGGCAGCCAGGCACUGCAAGAGGCACUGCCCACUGCAGGUGAGCCCAUGCCACAUCCUGCUUUGCCCUCCACCACUGCCACCCCAAACCCAAGAAGCAGAGGUUGUGCUGAUCUUCUCAAGUCCUAAAAGCAGCGAUUGGGAAAGCAAAAGAGCAGAGAGUUAGCCACUUAAAUCCGGACAUUAGCUCACGAGAAGCUGACUCCUUCAGAUCCAGAAGAGGCACAGCUGUGUUGUUUUGCUACCAUGAACAGGAGAUUGUUUAUAUGCAUAGAAAUACAUUUUUUAAAAACUCAUAUCUCAGCAUCUACUCUGCUGGAAGCAGGUCAAGCUGGGAAGCGUUCUAGUUCAUGCUGACAUAUACUGAAAGCUGUUCGCUGUUUCUGCUGGGAGUCUCUGAAAAGAAAGUACAGCGCUUGGGAAUUAAUACCAGAAGGGAGAACGUCAUGUUAAGGCAGG